CUGCAGAAUCACUGAAGUUCCUGCUUGUUCCUCUUUGGACACCACCCCCCAUCUUUGACAUUCUCUUCCUGGUGACUCCACAGGAAACUGUAGUCUCUAAAACACAGCUCAUCUAGCUCUAGGACAUCAAGCAAGUGACCCAGGACUUGUUAUUUUUCUGUUCAGUUUCUGUGUAGCUAAGGCAAGAACUUUUUCUUGGUCUCUACUCAGUGAUAUGCAAAGACCUGAAGCUUUUAAAGUGAAAGAGAAAACAGAGAAGGAAGCAAUAACAUCCCGGCACUUCAGCUCAAGACCCCUCAAUUUUAAACAGCAUGAGCCGUGACCUGAGGGCCCAGAUCUGUCUUGGUCACUGCUGCGGGAGCACAGUGCCUGUCAUAGAGAAGACUCUCAGGAAAUGUUGGUUGAAUGGCAGACUGGAUAUUGACAAAAUGGAGGUCUGUCUGCAAUUACUGAUGCUAGGCAUCUCUCUAAAUAAAUAAAACAAUCACAAUUAA